GAGAGGCUUCAUCAUCACCAUCUUCGCCGUACGAUCAGAGCGUGAGACUUCACAUCUAGAAGUCCUCCUUCUAGCUUGUCCCACAAGCAGUCGAGCUGAGACACUCAGGACUGAACAGACUGCACAGUUUCUGUGACCGAGCCUCCAAAACAUCUUCUUUGAAACCACACAUGAUAGAAGGGCUUUAUAUUUGCAGCAGCACUACUAAAGUUGGCAGGAAUGUUGCUGCAGGAAAACAUCCCUGGAGAUCACCACCAUUGCCAGACUGACUGUGCCUCCUCUGUGCAGUGUCAAGAUCCUCCUUUAAAUGAGUGUGUAAGUUAACAUUUUCAUUAUUUUAUUCCCUUUGACAAGUAUCACCGGU
ensembl:lncRNA